UGGGGAAUUUUGGACAAUGGGCGAAAGCCUGAUCCAGCAAUGCCGCGUGUGUGAAGAAGGCCUUCGGGUUGUAAAGCACUUUUGUCCGGAAAGAAAUCCUUGGCUCUAAUACAGUCGGGGGAUGACGGUACCGGAAGAAUAAGCACCGGCUAACUACGUGCCAGCAGCCGCGGUAAUACGUAGGGUGCAAGCGUUAAUCGGAAUUACUGGGCGUAAAGCGUGCGCAGGCGGUUUGCUAAGACCGAUGUGAAAUCCCCGGCGUCACCUAGGCACUGGCAAUGGUGAUGCUGGGCAGGCUAGAGUAUGGCAGAGGGGGGUAGAAUUCCACGUGUAGCAGUGAAAUGCGUAGAGAUGUGGAGGAAUACCGAUGGCGAAGGCAGCCCCCUGGGCCAAUACUGACGCUCAUGCACGAAAGCGUGGGGAGCAAACAGGAUUAGAUACCCUGGUAGUCCACGCCCUAAACGAUGUCAACUAGUUGUUGGGGAUUCAUUUCCUUAGUAACGUAGCUAACGCGUGAAGUUGACCGCCUGGGGAGUACGGUCGCAAGAUUAAAACUCAAAGGAAUUGACGGGGUCAUAGCUGUUUCCU
rnacentral:rRNA from 1 species